AGCAGCCGCGGUAAUUCCAGCUCCAAUAGCGUAUAUUAAAGUUGCUGCAGUUAAAAAGUUCGUAGUUGAAUUUCGGGACUAAUAUGUCGGUCGUGCCUCGGUACGUACUGGUUUAUUGGUUUCUCCUUUCUGAAGAACCAUGAUGUCAUUUAUUUGGUGUCGUGGGGAAUCAGGACUGUUACUUUGAAAAAUUAGAGUGUUUAAAGCAGGCUCACGCUUGAAUACAUUAGCAUGGAAUAAUGAAAUAGGACGUUUGAUUCUAUUUUGUUGGUUUCUAGGAUCGAUGUAAUGAUUAAUAGGGAUAGUUGGGGGCAUUAGUAUUCAAUUGUCAGAGGUGAAAUUCUUGGAUUUAUUGAAGACUAACUACUGCGAAAGCAUUUGCCAAGGAUGUUUUCAUUAAUCAAGAACGAAAGUUAGGGGAUCGAAGACGAUCAGAUACCGUCGUAGUCU
rnacentral:rRNA from 1 species